rnacentral:rRNA from 1 species
AUUAGACGAAUCAUCUGGAAAGAUGAAUCAAAGAAGGUAAUAAUCCUGUAGUCGAAAAUGUUGUCUCUCUUGAGUGGAUCCUGAGUACGACGGAGCACGUGAAAUUCCGUCGGAAUCUGGGAGGACCAUCUCCUAAGGCUAAAUACUCUCUAGUGACCGAUAGUGAACCAGUACCGUGAGGGAAAGGUGAAAAGCACCCCGGAAGGGGAGUGAAAUAGAACCUGAAACCGUGUGCUUACAAGUAGUCAGAGCCCGUUAAUGGGUGAUGGCGUGCCUUUUGUAGAAUGAACCGGCGAGUUACGAUUUGAUGCAAGGUUAAGCAGUAAAUGUGGAGCCGUAGCGAAAGCGAGUCUGAAUAGGGCGUUUAGUAUUUGGUCGUAGACCCGAAACCAGGUGAUCUACCCUUGGUCAGGUUGAAGUUCAGGUAACACUGAAUGGAGGACCGAACCGACUUACGUUGAAAAGUGAGCGGAUGAACUGAGGGUAGCGGAGAAAUUCCAAUCGAACCUGGAGAUAGCUGGUUCUCUCCGAAAUAGCUUUAGGGCUAGCCUCAAGUGAUGAUUAUUGGAGGUAGAGCACUGUUUGGACGAGGGGCCCCUCUCGGGUUACCGAAUUC